CCCUCCCCUCCUCCUCCUCCUCCUGACCCCGGCUGAGAUCUGACUGUCUGCAGCCUGUCACCAGUUCCCCUGCAGACUCACUCACACGUGCACGCUCAAAAACAAGCCUGCAUACAAACACACACCAGACAGACACCGUCUGACUGCUUCACAGGUUGACUAAAAGCUUUUCCACAGCGGUGACUGAUGUCUUGGACAGGACGCAAGCGGGAUUACGAGACUCUCUGGCCGGCACCGAGAAAGGAUAAAUAGAUUCCUGAAAGAUUUGUAAAGAGAACUUUUUUUUUACAGCUUCCUCAUGAAGUGUCUUAAAUCACUGCAGAAUGGACAUGGAGUGCUCCAACAGAUUAGGGGAAGACACUGAUUUGAAUUCCCGAAAGAGCUCCUGUUUUUCUGACCUCUCAGAAAUAAUCCCGAAUGUGUUUUCCUGUUGCGGCGUUGUCAGUAAUUACACACACUCGUGAGUUAGUGUGCGUGCCGGGAGCAAGGUGGGUAAUGACAUUUGGGAGAGUAAUAGCUCGGUAUGAAAAAACAACAACACACACACACACACACACACACACCUUUUGAGCUGGUUUGUGUCAUCAGAAAAAGUGUGGAAAGUAUGCUGAGGGGAAAAUAUGACUCCGGCGGGUUGGUGUUUAUGUGUGUGCGCUCACGCCGUGUUUAUACAUGUAUGCAAAUAAAUCCACCGUUUUUUUUCUCACUGUUUGUGCCAAAGGAUGAAAUAUGUCUCUCUCAAGACCAAGGUUCAAGUCAUUUGUCUGAGUUAUUAACGGAACACGUUAAGAAAACACACACAUAAAUUGAAACCUAAAGAUGAUUUAUGUGUGUGUGUGUGUGUGUGUGUGUGUGUGUGUUUCGCCACACCGAUCCGUCCUCUCUCUCGUCCUUCCGUUCCGUGGAAAGACCCGUCUUGAAGGACACCUCGGGAAAGAAAAAAACAAAACUAUUGGUUCUGGAGCGAUCCCCGGCUCUUCUCAACAGCCGUUAAUGAGAAGCUGUAAAACAAAUGGAAAAGAGCAGCGCGAGGAUGUGAACAUUUUUCUUCACCGCAAAGGUCAUCACCUUUUUUUUUUACUUUUUUUUUCGCCUGUUGCCGCGCUGAAGGUUUUUCCCCCUGUCAGUUUCUGCGAGCUGCGGCAGGGUUUCUCAACACGACUGGCUCAUAAAACUAUUAAAAUGUUUUCUAGCAGUGUUUUUUAAAUUGGGUAUGUAGCGGUGCAUGCUGUUUCCAGGAAACAGCCGGGCCUCUUCUUGCCCACUUGGCUUUUAUGUAUUUUCAAAGUAUCUGCCAGAAAUUGAAAUGGAGGGAUUUCAAACUCAGAAGCGUGCUCUCGCAAUGCACAUGCUUGACCACGUCGAGCGCACUUAAAGGCGCAUUUCGCCACCAAAAUCACACGUAUGUAGUUUCAAGUUUGACUUCACAGUUACUCCUACGAAUGUGUUACGUAUGCCUCUGCUGUGUGUUCCGUUUGUGUGUGUGUGUGUGUGGUUCUCGUUCCACCCUCCUCCCCCUCUACCUGAGCACACCUGAGCGCAAUCAGUGCUCUGGUGGAGUGGGGGAGGUGAUAACAGGGCAGAGAGUGCAGGGACAGGCAGCAGCACACCUGUGAGGAGUGCUCUCUCCUCACCAUUUUCUCCUUUGUCGCGGGCAGGUUUGGUUUUCAGCCUCCAUGCACGUUGCUGGGCGCUGGGCUUUUGUCGUUUUAGUUCAUUGUGUUCAUUUGGGCUGGAGCGGUGGUUCAGUUAUUCGUCUCUUUGUUUUAGGAUUAGUUUUCCAUUAGGCAGUUUAGAGGGAGGUGUGGGGAGAGACGACCCACCAGCCUGGCUGAUCUGGCAUCUUCCCAUCUUUUGUUCCUUUUGGCCGGGAUCUUCAACCCUCUUUUGUUUGUUCCUGGUUUUCUUUUUUGGGAAUUAUUGAAUAAAGCUUGUUUAAUUGUUUA